rnacentral:rRNA from 1 species
GACGAACGCUGGCGGCGUGCCUAACACAUGCAAGUCGAACGGAACUUUUUUAAAAGAUUUCUUCGGAAUGAAUUUGACUAAGUUUAGUGGCGGACGGGUGAGUAACGCGUGAGUAACCUGCCUCUAAGAGGGGAAUAACAUUCUGAAAAGAAUGCUAAUACCGCAUAACAUAUAUUUAUCGCAUGGUAGAUAUAUCAAAGAUUUAUCGCUUAGAGAUGGACUCGCGUCCGAUUAGUUAGUUGGUGAGGUAACGGCUCACCAAGACCGCGAUCGGUAGCCGGACUG